rnacentral:tRNA from 1 species
GGGCCCGUAGCUCAGUUGGUUAGAGCGCACGCCUGAUAAGCGUGAGGUCGUUGGUUCAAGUCCAUUCGGGCCCACCA